rnacentral:lncRNA from 1 species
UUUUGUUUUUGUUUCAGUUUCACUUUUUAUUUUUCGUUUUUACUUUUAUAAAAAUUAUGCAAGUCGAAGAAACUAGGAGAAUCACAAGGCAAAUGCUAUCCAGACCCCUCAAAGCCAAAAGACAAGAGAAGCCCAAACCAAAGUGUAAGAUCCCUCAUGGCAUCAUAUCAUAUCAUAUCAUCACAUAGCCUCAAGGAUCAUUGUGCACCUUGCCUCCUUUCCUGUGGGU